rnacentral:rRNA from 1 species
GACGAACCGUGCGAACGUUGUUCGGAAUCACUGGGCUUAAAGGGCGCGUAGGCGGGCUGUCAAGUCUGGGGUGAAAUGCCGCGGCUCAACCGUGGAACUGCCUUAGAUACUGACGGCCUCGAGGGAGGUAGGGGCGUGCGGAACUGUAGGUGGAGCGGUGAAAUGCGUUGAUAUCGAGAGGAACACCUGCGGCGAAGGCGGGUUGCUGGGCUGACACUGACGCUGAUGCGCGAAAGCCAGGGGAGCGAACGGG